ACUGGGUACCAGGGUUAUGAUGUCACACUGUUGUGCCAAUAUAUCCAUGGAAACACAGAAGACAAAAUACAACAAAUGCAGUGGACGUGGCAGAAUGAGUCCAGUAAAUGUGAAAUCAUGGUCUUUAGCAUGGACCAUGGUCUUUCUCUGCAUGACACAUUCCUGAAAGACAGAGUCAGCUUCAGUAAGAGCUCUCCUCCGAUCUAUGAGGCCUCCAUCAUCAUCAAAGAUGUGAAGAUGAGUGAUCAGGGAGUUUACAGCUGUGCCUACACAACCUACCCUAGCAGCAGUCAUACAGGACAAACCACUCGUACAGUGUUAGAAGGCAGUCCUCCUGUUCUGUCCACCGCUGAGGCUGUAGGGAUUGUGACUGCUGCUCAUCACUAUGAUUAUAGCUGUUGUGGGGUAUUUAUUCCUACGCAACAGACGAGCCGGCAGCAAUUUCACUUAUUACACAACUCAUAGCCCCAGUGACCUACAACAGGAUGUCACAUAUUCUGAUGUCACAAUACUGAAACCAGGUAAAGCUAACAGAAGCACCUCGUCAUCGGGGGACAUUGAAUACGCUGCGGUUUCCUUCAGUGGUCGGUCAGGAUCAGCGUCACUGCGAGCCUCAGCCAAUCAGACUGCUUUGGGUUUCCACACAGCAGAGCCAGGAAACUGUGUACGCACAGGUGAAAAAAGACUGAUUUUGAGUACAAACGUCACAUCCACUACAGAUUUCUGUUAAUGAGGUGUUUGAACAGUAGAGACAAUAAAGGGCCGAUCACACCAAGGACGACAACUAUAACAUUUUAAUAAUCAUUCUAAUUCUAAUAAUAGGGAAGUCCACACCCCAGCUAUAAUGAUAAUGACAGAGGAACAAUAUUGUUGGAAUCACCUUUUUCCAGCUGAUGGAGGACAAAACCAUUGACCAUCUGACUUUAAAGAGCUUGAGCAUUUAUAGCAGCAGACAACAAAACUCCAGCUUAUAAUAAACAAAACGUCAUAGUCCGUUAGCUAUGGACAAUUAUGAAUUUAUCGUUAUUGUUAUCGUUCUUGCUGUGAAUGGACUGAUAGCCGCCUUUCCCGACCCCAUCCCCCUCUCUCUCACAUACUUCGCUUCCUGUCAAAACCUACUGUCCUAUCAAAAUAAAAAAGCAAAAAUGACAAAAAAAAUCCCCUGCCAAUAUGGCCCAAAAACUGACACUAACAGUGUUUAAAAAGCGUGCUUGUUCUCUUUUUAGAGCUAGACUUGAGUCUGUGUGGUCUAUGCAAAAAGUCACAAAUCUUAGCACUUCUUAAAAUGAAAGAAAUGAGCUGAUUUAAAUACAUACCAAUACAUACUCACUGUGAACAUUUAUUCCUAAGUGUCCCUUUAUUUUCAUCACUUUGUGGGCUUUGAUUUAGAUUUAGAAUAACAAAAUUGCCUGCAGAAAAACACAAUCCAGUCUGUACACAGCAUAAGGGUCGACAAU